rnacentral:lncRNA from 1 species
GCCCAGUAUCCCCCUUCAUCUCUAAAAUAGACCAUAAUUUGACCUCUCUUUCAAAAAGAGCUUAGAGAACGGACACCCCCUCUUGAAAAACCCUAGCGCCGCCUUCUCCCUCCUCUUCUCUCUCACACGCCAUACUCAUGGAUUCGCCUCACCAUCUGCAGUGUCGUUUUUGAGAUUUGAAGUCCAGGGUAGCUAAAAACACAAGAGCAACAGUUGAAGAUACUCCAAAAUGCUUAAAACAUGCUAGUUUAGAUCUGUAGCUUCAAAGAGCUAUUCGGUUUUCUUUGAUUUCUUGGUCAAUCUCUGGGCUUUAGAGUGAUUUAACUCUCAAAUUGCAGCCGAGUGCUGCUGAUUCACUUCAUUACUGAGCUCCGAAUCUGCUGAUUUUCUAUAGCCCGUAUUUGGCAAAUUCUGAUCAUUUCUCUGCAUCCUAGGUACAUUACCUCAAACCUGUAAUUUCUCUUUGAUUGAUGAUGAAUUUCUAAACUUGUUUCUAGCUCAUUUGUUACAAUUUGUUGAAUCUGUUGCCUCAAUUUAGUUUGAGCAUAAGUGGAUUAUCCACAAGUUCAGUAGAGAUGUGAUACUUGUUUAUUGGAAUCUGAUCUCAUGACAAUUUUGUGAGUUUGAUUCAAAUGGGCGUUGCAACGUUUGGUUUAGCUAAUACCUAAAACAGGCUAUAGAUCUAAACAAUAAUCGUGAAUUAAGUUCUAUGAUUUGUUGAACAAUCUGUGAAUAUCAAAUGUUAUUUUUGAGGUGUAGUUGAUGAUAUGUGCACCCUCUCUAAAUUUAGCUGUUAAACCUCGGUCUUGUGACUUUGUUCAUUUUGGAAUAAUAUGCACUAGAUUCUGAUUUGCCGGAAUAAUCCAAUCCUGGUAAAUCGAGAAGCUAUUUGGACGAAAUGAAAACUAUAUAGCCUGGAGAUGUGUAUGUGUUUUCUAUGGAGAAUGUGUAAUGGAAGCAUAAAUCGAUAAGAGGGGUUGCUCUGAUGGUAAGCAACCUCCACUUCCAACCAAGAGGUUGUGAGUUCGAGUCACCCCAAGAGCAAGGUGGGGAGUUCUUGGAGGGAAGGAUGCCGAGGGUCUAUUGGAAACAGCCUCUCUACCUCAUGGUAGGUGUAAGGUCUGCGUACACACUACCCUCCCCAGACCCCACUAGUGGGAUUAUACUGAAUUGUUGUUGUUGUUGUAGAUUAGUGUAUCUUGUAAUUUAUGAAGCUAAUUGUCAGAUUCCUUUGAUUAUGUAUGGUAUAGAAUCACUUGAUCAUAGAAUGUGUUUGUCUGGCACUGAUGGCUGAAUUUUAAUAUCAUUAUGCCAUUCUAACCAUGUAGGAUUAAACAAUUUUCAAAAAGGGGAAGUGCAACUAAGCCAAUAGACAUAACUGAUGUCCCGACGUAGCUUCAAUGAGCAAUUUAGAUCAGUCACGUAACUUUUCGUUAAAUCCUUUUGAUCUCACCUAUUAAGCCCAUCAUCUGGCAAUCCCAUUUGAUCAAAUUAUAAGCAGUUCCUCGGCAAUAUUUGAGCCUGCACACUUGAUAUUCAGCUUUUAGAAAAAUAAUUAUCUUAUAAACAUUUGUAGCUUGUCAUCAUGACUAUGGGUACGGUUUCCGUGGCAUAGUCAGAUACAUAGUCCCCAAUUCGAGUGUGCGUUUCACGUGACUCGGCCAUAACUUCGAAUUAAUAAUAAAACUAAACAUGUUAUAAAUCGCGGGUGCAUUUCAUGUGACGUGAUUCGCAAUGUAUUCAAAAAUAAUAAGUGCGUGACAUCGCGACUUAUUUAAAUAAACUCCAUAAAUAAUUAAAAGUGGUUAGAAAGUUAAAAUUGCACAAUAGGUUUUAAACGUGUAAUAAAUCAGAUAUUUAGGCCAAUUAUUAAUAGUUAAACGACCGUGCUAAAACCACAAAACUCGGGAGUGCCUCACACCUUCUACCGGGUUAACAGAAUUCCUUACCCAAUCUUCUGUGUUCGCAGAUCAUAAAUAAGAGUCAAUUUCCUCGAUUUGGUAUUUAAAAUAAACCGGUGACUCGGGACACCAUAAAUUAUUCCAAGUGGCGAUUCUGAAAUAAAUAAAUAAUUCUAUUUCGAUUAAUGUCACUUUAAUUGGAAAAACUUCCCUAUCCCUCGGGAAAAAGGAGGUGUGACAACUCCCAUUUGAACCUAACUCUCUGAUACUAAGUUGUCACGACCCAAAAUCUACUAAAGGUCGUGAUGGUGCCUAACAUCACCUUUAGGCAAGCCAACAGUGAAUGAUCAACUUAAUUACUCAUUUUAGUAUUUUGAAAUCAUAAUUUUCAUAAAUUAAAUCUUUUGAAAUAGAAUUUGCAGGGUAAAUGAUAAUAUUUUCACAACUACAAUUACGAACAACCCGUAGGAACCCCAAAAAUCCGGUGUCACAAGUACAUGAGCAUUUUCUAAGGAGUACAAUGAUAAUACAACAUCUGUCCAGAAUGUAAAUAAGACAGGAUAAAAUAAAUAGUACGAUGGAGACUCGGUGAACUGCGAUGCGUAGCCUGAGAUACAGCUCACAUAAAGUCUUCUCAAUAGAUGCGCCUACGCACUAAGAUGAUCACUAAAUGACCUGUCAGAUCCUGCACAUUUAGUGCAGAAGUGCAGCAUGAGCAUGUAAAUAAACGCGUACCUAAUAAGUAUCUAGCCUAACUCCGGAGAAGUAGUAACGAAAGGUCGACAUCGACACUUACUAGAGGUCCAAGUAAAUAAUAUGAUAAUUCAUAACAUAUAUGAAGUGCACAGUAAUAGUGGAGUAAAUCUGUAAUUUCAUAAUGUUCCAAUUAUUUCUUUUAAAUCAUAAAUUUAUCGAUCUUGUAUUCUAUCUUAAUAUCUUAGAAAAUGCCAAGUGUCAAUACUAAAUAAAUAAGAAAUACCAUAAAAUUUCGGGCAUCAGUGGAAGGUUUAUCUUAUAAAUAUUCGGACUUCUAGAGAUAUCACGCACGAUUCUGCCGAGGUCGUUCGGUCCGAUAAUGUGUACACUCCCGAGGAUCGUGCAGCACGAACCAUAGAUGCAUUUAUAUACUGCCGAGGCAUUCGGCCCGCUCCACAAGAAAGGAAGUUACCGAAUUACAAGACACGUGUUUACAAUACAGUACAUGAGCACAAUAAUAAGUACACCCCUUUACAUUUAUCAAAUAUCUUGGCAACAACUCAAGGUGAUAAAGCUCAGCAUAAUAUAUUUAUUUGUUUUCCAAAUCCAUUUUUUAGUUAGAAUUUCAAUUUAUUAAACUAACAAAAUGAGUCCAAACAAUUUAAAUAUUAUAUGAUAAAGUCCUAAGUCUACCCGGACAUAAUCAUGCUUUAGCUACAUACGGACUCUCGUCACCUUGUGCGUACGUAGCACUCACAACUAGUUGCAUACAAUAAUAAAUAUCACCUAGAGGUAGUUUGCCCCUCACAAGGUUAGACAAGAGACUUACCUCGCUCCAAAAUUCUAUAACCGGCUCCAAAGUCUCUCUAACACCUCAAACUGAUGCCUAUCGCUCUAAAACUCAUUAUAGUUGAUGAAGAUGGCACUCCAAAAGUUCUCCAAAAUCGGCUUCCAUGGACGAAAUGAGAUAAAAAUGGGCCAAAUCCCCGUUUUAAAAGAACACACUACCCAGCCCGACCUUCACACCUACGGAACAGUAGCCGCUUCUGCGCUCUGCACCUGCAGAUAAUCUGUUGCUGGUGCGACUUCAGCACAACCCAACGGCCCUCGCUUCUGCGUCCCAAGUAGCGCACCUGCGCUUCUGCUUUUAUGAGCCUUACGCGCUUCUGCGCUCGCACAAUUGCGCCUCCUUUUCCGCUUCUGCGGCCCAGGCCUUUGUCGCCAACCUCCGCUUCUGCGCUCCAACAGUCGCAUUUGCGAUCUCGCAGGUGCGGGAAUUCCUUCGCACCUGCGGCCUCUGCCCAGUUCACUCCCAUCCACUUCUGCAGUCCACUUCCUCGCUUUUGCGAUGAGUCUUCCGUAGAAGCGGUUACACCAGCAACCAGAUUUUCCAACUUCUCCUUACGUCCAAAAAUCGAUCGUUAACCAUCCAGAAUCCACCCGAGGGCCCCGGGACCUCAAUCAAACUUACCAACAAGUCCUAAAAUACCAUACGGACCUAAUCGAGCCUUCAAAUCAUAUCAAACAACAUUGGAACUACGAAUUGACGAUCGAAAUCCUCAUUUAGCUUUCAAACUUUCAAACUUUGACGAACGCGUUCGAACCAUAUCAAAACAUUCUAGAAUGACGCCAAACUUUGCGCACAAGUCAUAAAUCACAAGACAAACCUAUUCCAAGGCUCAGAAUACCAACCGGAUAUCGAUAACAUCAAGGUCCACCUCAAAUCAAACUUAAGAAGUUCUUAAACCUUCAAAAUGGCAACCUUUCAUAAUAAGCGCCGAAAUGCUCCCGAAUAAUCCGAUACUCAACCCGAACAUAUGCCCAAGUCCAAUAUCAUCAUACAAAUCUGUUGGAACCUUCUAAUCCCAAUUCCGAGGUAGUUUACUCAAAAUCCAAACCUUAGUCAAUUCUUCCAACUUAAACUUUCGAAAUUCGAAUUUUCUUUCCAAAUCAACUCCGAACUUUCCGAAAUUCAAUUCCGAUCACACGUACAAGUCAUAAUACCUGAAGUGAAGCUACUCAAGAUAUCAAACCACGGAACGAUGUGCUAGAGCGCAAAACGACCGGUCAGGUCGUUACAAAAAUGACAUAAAAUGGAUAACGGUCAUGGCGAGGCGGUGACUAUUGUUUCUUAGAUCGUUUGUGAUAGUCCGAAAAUAUUUUAGGCGAUCCGGGUCCAGUUCCGGUCGAACGGGCCCAUGCUGAAGUUGUGGGCUAUAACAUACGAAAAUCUAAGAAUUAUGAGGAAUUUUAAUUGUAUGGCCCUAAAAUGCUAAAAUAUGAGGAACCCUCAUGGCGAGGUGGUGACUAUUGUUCCGUAGGUCAUUUUUGAUUGUCUAGCAAAAUUUUAGGCGAUCCGGUUCUGGCUGCGUGGACGCAUGCAGAAGGCGUGGGCUAUAGAACUAGAAAAUCUGGGGACCGGGAUGAAUUCCUGUUUUAUGGCCCUAAAAUACCAAAAAAGAGAAACGGUCAUGGUGAGGUGGUGAAUAUUUUUCCUUAGGUUGUUUUAUAUGGUCAGGCAAAAUUUUAGAUGAUCCGGGUCCGGCCACCCGGGCCAUGUAGAAGGGGUGGGUUAUAGCACGCUAAAAUUUAAAAAUCUGGUGGAAUUCUAGUUUUAUGGCCCUAAAAUAUCAAAAAAUGAGUAAUGGGUAUGGAGAGGCAGUGACUAUUAUUACUUAGGUUAUUUUUUGUGGGCCAGCAAAAGUUUAGGCGACUGGGUAUGGUCGUCCAGGACCAUGUAGAAGGCGUAGGCUAUAGAACACGAAAAUCUGAGAAUCUAGCGGAAUUCCAGUUUUAUGGCCCUUAGACGCCAAAAAAGAGGAACGAUCAUGGUGAGGAGGUGACUAUUGUUCCUUAGGUCAUUUUUGAUGGUCCGGCAAAUUUUUAGGCGAUUCGGGUCCGGCCGCCCAGGCUCAUGCGGAAGGCGUGGGCUAUAAUAUACGAAAAUCUGAGAAUCGGGCAGAAUUCCAGUUUUAUGGCCCUAAAAUGCCAAAACAUGUGGAACGGUCACGACGAGGCAGUGACUAUUGUUCCUUAGGUCGAUUUUGAUGGUCAAGCAACAUUUUAGGCGAUCCGUGCCUAGCCGCUCGGGCCCGUGCAGAAGGCAUGGCUAUAAAAUACGAAAAUCUAAGAAUCGAUGGAAUUUCAGUUUUAUGGCCCUAAAACGCCUUCGAGUUUAUUUUUUGGGAUUUCGAGGUCAUGCAACACGAAUUUAUAAUUAUAUCUACCUUUUCUUGUGUAUUCGUACAUGCUGAUUUUGUAAUAAAAUUUUGACGGAUUCUGAUUGGCUUAAAAUAUUGUAGGUCUAUAGGAAACGGCCUAGUGAUCAGUACUCAUUGCUUCACUAUUACAAACUUCACCAGUACAAAUUUUAUUACAAACUUCAGGUUCAUUUUAUGGCGUUUCAUGGUCUUGCAAUAUGAAUUUGUGAUUAUUCUAUUUUUUGUGUACAUUAGUAUAUGUUGAUUUUAUAGAAAUUCUUUUGAUACUCUGAUUUGUCUGAAAUUUCUUAGGUCUAUGGAAUCGACCUAAUGACCAGUACUCAUUACUUCGCCAUGACUUUUGAAUUUAUUUUAUUGCAUUUUGUGGUCAUGCAACAUGAAUUGUGAUUAUAUCUAUUUUUUCGUAUGUAUUAGUACAUGCUGAAUUUGUAAAUUAUUUUUAAAGGACUUCGAUUAGUUUGAAAUUUCUUCGAUCCAUAGAAAUGACCUGCUGACCAAUAUUCAUUGCUUCACAAUGACUUUUGAGUUUAUUUUAUGGCGUUUCGAGGUCAUACAACACAAAUUUAUAAUUAUAUCCACUUUUUUGUGUGUAUUUGUACAUGUUAAUUUUAUAGAAUUUUUUUGACGGACUCUGAUUGGCCUGAAAUUUUACAAGUUCAUAAAAAAUGGCCUAGUGAUCAAUACUCAUUGUUUUACCAUGUCUUUCAGGUUUAUUUUAUGGCGUUUUGUGAUCAUAAAACACAAAUUUAUGAUUAUAUCUAUUUUUUCGUGAAUUGCAUUAUUCGGGCCAGUGAACUCUUAAUGCCAAAAUAUUUUUUUUAAAAUAUGACCAUGAUUAUAGUGCACUAAGGAGUCAUUUGGUAGGAUGUAUCAGGUAAAAAUAAUACAUGUAUUAACUUUGAUAUUAGUAUUCCCCUAUUUGUUAGUGUUUUUUAAUUUAUGUAUAACUAACACAUGUAUUAGUUAUACUCCCUGGUAUUAUUCUAUACAACAACAACUGACCUAGUAUAUUUUCAACAGAUGGGUCUGGGAAAAAUAGUAUGUACGUAGACCUUACCUCUAUCAGGUGAAGGUAGAAAUAUUAUUUCCAAUAGACCCUUUGCUUGGAAGGAAGAAGAAGAAGAAGAAGAAGAAGAAAAAUGAGGAGGAGGAUGAGCAUGUAUACAUCCCUAUGCAAUGCAUGUUAAUUUUAAUAUACCAAACUAAAUAGUGGAUAAAAAAUAAUUCCAACAUAACUAAUUUUAUCACUAUUAAUUCUAAUGUUACCAAUACACCGUAUUUAGUACUCCCUCCGUUUUAAUUUAUGUGAACUUAUUUUUUUUUUAGUCUGUG